rnacentral:rRNA from 1 species
AUUGAACGCUGGCGGCAUGCUUUACACAUGCAAGUCGAACGGUAACAGGCCGCAAGGUGCUGACGAGUGGCGAACGGGUGAGUAAUGCAUCGGAACGUGCCCAGUCGUGGGGGAUAACUACUCGAAAGAGUAGCUAAUACCGCAUACGAUCUAUGGAUGAAAGCGGGGGACCGUAAGGCCUCGCGCGAUUGGAGCGGCCGAUGUCAGAUUAGGUAGUUGGUGGGGUAAAGGCUCACCAAGCCAACGAUCUGUAGCUGGUCUGAGAGGACGACCAGCCACACUGGGACUGAGACACGGCCCAGACUCCUACGGGAGGCAGCAGUGGGGAAUUUUGGACAAUGGGUGCAAGCCUGAUCCAGCUAUGCCGCGUGCAGGAAGAAGGCCUUCGGGUUGUAAACUGCUUUUGUACGGAACGAAACGGCUCUGGUUAAUACCCGGGGCUAAUGACGGUACCGUAAGAAUAAGCACCGGCUAACUACGUG